rnacentral:rRNA from 2 species
GGGUUGUGAGGUUAAGCGACUAAGCGUACACGGUGGAUGCCCUGGCAGUCAGAGGCGAUGAAGGACGUGCUAAUCUGCGAAAAGCGUCGGUAAGGUGAUAUGAACCGUUACAGCCGGCGAUGUCCGAAUGGGGAAACCCAGUGCAAUUCGUUGCACUAUCGUUAACUGAAUACAUAGGUUAACGAGGCGAACCGGGGGAACUGAAACAUCUAAGUACCCCGAGGAAAAGAAAUCAACCGAGAUUCCCCCAGUAGCGGCGAGCGAACGGGGAGCAGCCCAGAGUCUGAAUCAGCUUGUGUGUUAGUGGAACGGUCUGGAAAGUCCGACGGUACAGGGUGAUAGUCCCGUACACCAAAAUGCACAGGCUGUGAACUCGAAGAGUAGGGCGGGACACGUGGUAUCCUGUCUGAAUAUGGGGGGACCAUCCUCCAAGGCUAAAUACUCCUGACUGACCGAUAGUGAACCAGUACCGUGAGGGAAAGGCGAAAAGAACCCCGGCGAGGGGAGUGAAAAAGAACCUGAAACCGUGUACGUACAAGCAGUGGGAGCACCUUCGGGUGUGACUGCGUACCUUUUGUAUAAUGGGUCAGCGACUUAUAUUCUGUAGCAAGGUUAACCGUAUAGGGGAGCCGCAGGGAAACCGAGUCUUAACUGGGCGUUAAGUUGCAGGGUAUAGACCCGAAACCCGGUGAUCUAGCCAUGGGCAGGUUGAAGGUUGGGUAACACUAACUGGAGGACCGAACCGACUAAUGUUGAAAAAUUAGCGGAUGACUUGUGGCUGGGGGUGAAAGGCCAAUCAAACCGGGAGAUAGCUGGUUCUCCCCGAAAGCUAUUUAGGUAGCGCCUCGUGAAUUCAUCUUCGGGGGUAGAGCACUGUUUCGGCUAGGGGGUCAUCCCGACUUACCAACCCGAUGCAAACUACGAAUACCGAAGAAUGUUAUCACGGGAGACACACGGCGGGUGCUAACGUCCGUCGUGAAGAGGGAAACAACCCAGACCGCCAGCUAAGGUCCCAAAGUCAUGGUUAAGUGGGAAACGAUGUGGGAAGGCACAGACAGCCAGGAUGUUGGCUUAGAAGCAGCCAUCAUUUAAAGAAAGCGUAAUAGCUCACUGGUCGAGUCGGCCUGCGCGGAAGAUGUAACGGGGCUAAACCAUGCACCGAAGCUGCGGCAGCGACACGAUGUGUUGUUGGGUAGGGGAGCGUUCUGUAAGCCUGCGAAGGUGACCUGUGAGGGUUGCUGGAGGUAUCAGAAGUGCGAAUGCUGACAUAAGUAACGAUAAAGCGGGUGAAAAGCCCGCUCGCCGGAAGACCAAGGGUUCCUGUCCAACGUUAAUCGGGGCAGGGUGAGUCGACCCCUAAGGCGAGGCCGAAAGGCGUAGUCGAUGGGAAACAGGUUAAUAUUCCUGUACUUGGUGUUACUGCGAAGGGGGACGGAGAAGGCUAUGUUAGCCGGGCGACGGUUGUCCCGGUUUAAGCAUGUAGGCUGAUUAUCCAGGCAAAUCCGGAUAAUCAAGGCUGAGGUGUGAUGACGAGGCACUACGGUGCUGAAGUAACAAAUGCCCUGCUUCCAGGAAAAGCCUCUAAGCAUCAGGUAACAUCAAAUCGUACCCCAAACCGACACAGGUGGUCAGGUAGAGAAUACCAAGGCGCUUGAGAGAACUCGGGUGAAGGAACUAGGCAAAAUGGUGCCGUAACUUCGGGAGAAGGCACGCUGGUGUGUAGGUGAAGUCCCUGCGGAUGGAGCUGAGACCAGUCGAAGAUACCAGCUGGCUGCAACUGUUUAUUAAAAACACAGCACUGUGCAAACACGAAAGUGGACGUAUACGGUGUGACGCCUGCCCGGUGCCGGAAGGUUAAUUGAUGGGGUUAUCCGUAAGGAGAAGCUCUUGAUCGAAGCCCCGGUAAACGGCGGCCGUAACUAUAACGGUCCUAAGGUAGCGAAAUUCCUUGUCGGGUAAGUUCCGACCUGCACGAAUGGCGUAAUGAUGGCCAGGCUGUCUCCACCCGAGACUCAGUGAAAUUGAACUCGCUGUGAAGAUGCAGUGUACCCGCGGCAAGACGGAAAGACCCCGUGAACCUUUACUAUAGCUUGACACUGAACAUUGAGCCUUGAUGUGUAGGAUAGGUGGGAGGCUUUGAAGCGUGGACGCCAGUCUGCGUGGAGCCAACCUUGAAAUACCACCCUUUAAUGUUUGAUGUUCUAACGUGGGCCCCUAAUCGGGGUUGCGGACAGUGUCUGGUGGGUAGUUUGACUGGGGCGGUCUCCUCCCAAAGCGUAACGGAGGAGCACGAAGGUUAGCUAAUCCUGGUCGGACAUCAGGAGGUUAGUGCAAUGGCAUAAGCUAGCUUGACUGCGAGCGUGACGGCGCGAGCAGGUGCGAAAGCAGGUCAUAGUGAUCCGGUGGUUCUGAAUGGAAGGGCCAUCGCUCAACGGAUAAAAGGUACUCCGGGGAUAACAGGCUGAUACCGCCCAAGAGUUCAUAUCGACGGCGGUGUUUGGCACCUCGAUGUCGGCUCAUCACAUCCUGGGGCUGAAGUAGGUCCCAAGGGUAUGGCUGUUCGCCAUUUAAAGUGGUACGCGAGCUGGGUUUAGAACGUCGUGAGACAGUUCGGUCCCUAUCUGCCGUGGGCGCUGGAGAAUUGAGGGGGGCUGCUCCUAGUACGAGAGGACCGGAGUGGACGCAUCACUGGUGUUCGGGUUGUCAUGCCAAUGGCACUGCCCGGUAGCUAAAUGCGGAAGAGAUAAGUGCUGAAAGCAUCUAAGCACGAAACUUGCCCCGAGAUGAGUUCUCCCUGAGACUUUAAGUCUCCUGAAGGAACGUUGAAGACGACGACGUUGAUAGGCCGGGUGUGUAAGCGCAGCGAUGCGUUGAGCUAACCGGUACUAAUGAACCGUGAGGCUUAACCUUACAACGCCGAAG